UGAGGAAGUAAAAGUCGUAACAAGGUUUCCGUAGGUGAACCUGCGGAAGGAUCAUUAAAAUGAGAAUCGGUUCGCGCUGCGUGGGGUAAAAUCCUCGUAGCGCGUUACCGUCAACCUCUACCCUUGUAUAUUAUUCAAUUGUUGCUUUGGCAGGCCGCGAGCCUUUACGGUGAGCACCGGCUUCGGCUGGAGAGUGCCUGCCAGAGGACCCCAACUCUGUAUUAUAUGAAGUCUGAGUACUAUUAAAUAGUUAAAACUUUCAACAACGGAUCUCUUGGUUCUGGCAUCGAUGAAGAACGCAGCGAAAUGCGAUAAGUAAUGUGAAUUGCAGAAUUCAGUGAAUCAUCGAAUCUUUGAACGCACAUUGCGCCCUCUGGUAUUCCGGGGGGCAUGCCUGUUCGAGCGUCAUUAUAUACCAAUCACGCAAGUGGUCUUGGGGCUUGCCGUCUGGCAUCCCUUAAAACUAGUGGCAGUGCUAUAGGCUCUCAGCGUAGUAAUUAUUCCGCUUUUGAGUCCUAGAAACACCCGCCAAAACCCCAACUUUCUUAGGUUGACCUCGGAUCAGGUAGGGAUACCCGCUGAACUUAAGCAUAUCAA
rnacentral:rRNA from 1 species